rnacentral:misc_RNA from 1 species
AAACCACAAGGUAGAUCAAUGACUAAGCGGAAUCAUGGCGACGGCGAGAAACGUUCCUCGGUACCGGCGGAUGAUCUCCGUUGCCAUAGAUCAGAUGGAAAGAAAUGGAGAUGCAAAGGUUUUAAGGUUGAAGGUAAAUCCAUGUGUGAGCAGCAUUUACACCGUGCAUCCGCUAGUGUUUCUGUCGUCAAGAGAGUAGAAAAACGGCGAAAAAGAUACGUUGCGAGAAGCGAUACGAGUGAUU